rnacentral:rRNA from 1 species
UACGUAGGGGGCAAGCGUUGUCCGGAUUCAUUGGGCGUAAAGAGCUCGUAGGCGGUUUGUUGCGUCGGCUGUGAAAUCCCGAGGCUCAACCUCGGGUCUGCAGUCGAUACGAGCAAACUAGAGUGUUGCAGGGGAGACUGGAAUUCCUGGUGUAGCGGUGAAAUGCGCAGAUAUCAGGAGGAACACCAGCGGCGAAGGCGGCGCUCUGGGCCGGUACUGACACUGAGGAGCGAAAGCGUGGGUAGCAAACAGG